rnacentral:rRNA from 1 species
UACGUAGGGGGCAAGCGUUAUCCGGAUUUACUGGGUGUAAAGGGAGCGUAGACGGCGCUGCAAGUCCGGAGUGAAAGCCCAUGGCUUAACCAUGGUACUGCUCUGGAAACUGUGGAGCUUGAGUGCGGGAGGGGCAGGCGGAAUUCCUGGUGUAGCGGUGAAAUGCGUAGAUAUCAGGAGGAACACCGGUGGCGAAGGCGGCCUGCUGGACUGCAACUGACGUUGAGGCCCGAAAGCGUGGGGAGCAAACAGG